rnacentral:lncRNA from 1 species
ACAAACACAAAAACACCAAUUUGUAAUAACAAUUAAAAUAAUACUGAUAUCUAUUUUAAAUAUAUUUUGGAAGCAGUGUUGUGUUUGAUUCUAUCGCUUAAAGAACUUGAAAAUACUUGAUCGACCCACAAAUCGAUGACAAAAUAAAGUUGAACCAGACUGUAUUUGAACUCUUUACGUAAAGUUUACAGUUCGCAGAGCCAUAAAGCAUUUUUUACGAUGCACUACCAAUACUAUCCACACACACACACACACACACACACACAGAGGCACAAUGACAAACCAAAACAUGUGUGAAUUUCAUUUGAUAAUCUUUAACAUUUGAUAAUCUUUAACAGAGAGAAGGUAAUAAGUAGCAGCAAGUUGCCCGACAAUGGAAGAACGGGGACAUGCAAUUUCUUAGAACAGUGAAGGGCUCCCUUAGAAAGGAAAUGAUUAACCAACCAAAAAUAACAUUAUGAAAACAAAUAAAUGAGCCAACGAGAGCCUUUCUAUUUAACUGGUCCAUUUACUAGAUGUUUCAUCUAAAAUUCCCUCAAAAAAGGGCAGUAGCAUUUUAUGACAGUGAAAGACGCAGUUCUAAAUACACUAUCAUUUUUUUUUAAUAAAGACACGCGCGAUAAUCCCAUGUUGAACUCAUUUGGUGCUAGGUCUGUUCAAUAAGGAUAUUUGACCUGUGGCUAUAUAUAAACAACAACGACGACAACAAUGUGAAAGGAAGAUUUAAAAAAGAAAUGCCCCCACCUCAAAACUGAAGGAUAUCGAAGGUAACUGUUGCUGUUCAACAUAAGAGUCUGGAAGCAUAAACUAUUUUAUGAGGACUGGAGUUGAUCACGUUCUUCAUGGUGGCGGACAUGUUGGAGGAGGAAGAGGGGAGUGAAGGAGGAGUGGAUGGUGGAGCAGGCGAUGGCGGUGGUGGAGCUUCUGGAAUGUUUACUUCAUUAAUUGGAAGAAGCAUUUCAGCUCGAAAGCAGCGGCCAUGCUGGGGCACCACCUUUUGCUUCGAUACACCUUAGCUAUUUGAAACCUCCUCUAAUAUGUGGCGAUUUCGUGGAUAACGGAGUUGAUGUUGCAGCCCUCAUCUGCGAUACCUAC